GGUGGUUCUUGGGUGAUGCACCCUGGAAUCAGGCUCACUCCUCUGUGGUUCUGGGUGUGUCCCCUGAGAAUGGCA
rfam:Myotis brandtii contig173757, whole genome shotgun sequence.